GAUGAACGCUAGCUACAGGCUUAACACAUGCAAGUCGAGGGGAAACGACAUCGAAAGCUUGCUUUUGAUGGGCGUCGACCGGCGCACGGGUGAGUAACGCGUAUCCAACCUGCCCAUCACUUGGGAAUAACCUUGCGAAAGUAAGACUAAUACCCAAUGAUAUCCCACGAAGACAUCUGAAUGGGAUUAAAGAUUUAUCGGUGAUGGAUGGGGAUGCGUCUGAUUAGCUUGUUGGCGGGGUAACGGCCCACCAAGGCAACGAUCAGUAGGGGUUCUGAGAGGAAGGUCCCCCACAUUGGAACUGAGACACGGUCCAAACUCCUACGGGAGGCAGCAGUGAGGAAUAUUGGUCAAUGGGCGAGAGCCUGAACCAGCCAAGUAGCGUGCAGGAUGACGGCCCUAUGGGUUGUAAACUGCUUUUAUAAGGGAAUAAAGUGGGUCUCGUGAGACUUUUUGCAGGUACCUUAUGAAUAAGGACCGGCUAAUUCCGUG
rnacentral:rRNA from 1 species